GAUGAACGCUGGCGGCGUGCCUAACACAUGCAAGUCGAGCGAACAGACGAGGAUCUUGUUCCUCUGACGUUAGCGGCGGACGGGUGAGUAACACGUGGAUCCCCUACUUAUAUUUCUGGUAUCAUUUCGGGAAACCGGCUCUAAUCCCGUAUAAUAUAUUGAACCGCAUGGUUCAUUAGUGAAAUACGGCUUUUCUGUCUCUUAUAGCUGCUUCCGGGCUGGAUUAGCUGGUUGGUACGGUAACGGCUUACCAAGGCAAAGAUGCGUAGCCGACCUGAGAGGGGGAUCGGCGACACUGGAACUGAGACACGGUCAAGACGACUAAGGGAGGCAGCAGUAGGGAAUCGUCGGCAAUGGGCGAAAGCCUGACGGAGCAACGGCGAGUGAGUGAUGAAGGUCUUCGGAUCGUAAAAAUCUGUUAUUAGGGAAGAACAAAUGUGUAAGUAAAUAUGCACGUAUUGACGGUACCUAAUCAGAAAGCCACGGCUAACUACGUG
rnacentral:rRNA from 1 species